GAUUAUCAAUAACAUGUCUAUGUUUGCUGUUGUCAAACGCAGGCAUGGGGCUGGAAUAUUCCUUCCUGCUGCGGACGCUGAUAUCUGCCGGGUCGAUUGUCACCGCCGCCACGAUAUGCCAUAUGCUGCAAAAUUCCAUGGUGCUGGAAGAAGAGGAAUAUAAACCCCGAAAGCAACGAUGGCCAUGAAGCUGUAGAUGAGCCAGGCUAUGGGCUGAAACACAUGGAGCGGCAGGGACCAACCAUUCACCCUGGAAUGCAGCGGAGCCCGGAGCAGAUCACUUCUACUGCCUCCAUUCUGAGGGGCCGUUUGUCUGCCGUGACGCCCCGAACAGUUCAACUGCAAACACACAUUAACCUUUCUUAUAAACACAACCUGAGAAACUCAGCAGUGGCAGCAACUCCUGUAUGGGACAUCAGCUUAUAAUUCUUAGACUAAACAGUUAAUGCUAAUGUAUUUGUAAUGGGUGCUAUUAUAUGUAAUUUUCUGCAUUGUGCUAUUCCUAUCAUUAACAUUUCAUACUGACAAUUCAAUCAUGACGACUCUUUGAAGGUUUUAGCAUUUUAAUGAAGCACGCAGUGUACAUAAGCUUUUUGUCUUGGCCUUCUAGAUUGAAGAGGAUAGGAAUACAUGCUGCCGCAAGGAAAUAGGGAAAGCCCCCUGUACUGUAGCAGAUCUAGGCAGGUGGUGCUGGGGAAGGAGGUGGGCUAGGAAUAAUCCCAUAGCGCUGCAUUAAUAUGAACCAGGACAGAAGAGACUUAAAGGGUUAGUUCACCCCAAAAUUACAAUUUUAUCAUAAAUCACUUAAAUAAUUAUGAUGAAAACCGGGAGUAUUGUGACUGUCCCAUAGACUGCAGGUUUUUUUCACAAUUCUUUUCCCAGAAAAGAAUGAAAAACAUCGCCAGAAAGGUACAUGUGCCAUCAGUAGUUCAAUUAUAAUAUUAUGAAGCAACGAGAACACUUUUGUACGCAAAGAACAAUUUUAUUCAACAUUGUUGAAUAACAAUUAUUCAAAGCUUUUAAACGCGCUGAAAACACUGAGUGCUUUGGUUGCUAUACUUCUGCUUUGUUUAACAAAUUGUAGUUCUAAACAUAGGUUCGAGAGGUCAAUCAUCAUUAUGGGCGUAUAUAAGGCAGCCUUAUAAUUGCCAGCAAAGCACUGCGCUUCCAUUGGAAAGCAUACGCCAGCGUAAAAGCUUUAGUGUGCACGCCCGCUAAAUGCACAAAUUACUUGCCAGCGUAUUGUAAGCUGGCAACUACAUCAGCAGGUCACGUCAGCAGCAUGCGCGAUGUAGUCUGCUCGUAAACGCGCACUAAACGACCAAGAAAGAGAACAAAUUGUUGAAUAAAAUUGUUCUUUGCGCACAAGAUUGUUCUCGUUGCUUUUUAAUAUUAUAAUUUAACUUUCCCGUAUUAAUGAUAAAAUUUUAAUUUUGUGGUGAACUAACCCUUUAAAUAGGUCACGCUGAUAGCAAGGGAAGAUCGAUUGGCUCUGCUGCCAGCUUUAUGAGUUUCAUAACUGAACUUGGUAUAAAAUCUGAAUAAAAUGUAUAUCUUGACAUGCACUUUAAGUCACUUUACGAUAAAAUAAGCCAAAUGCAUGACUGUUAUUAAAGCAUAACAUUGCUUCAAUAACCUUUAUAACUUUAAGACUUGGCUAAGUUAAGAAAACAUUCAAAGUUCGUCUUGAUAAACCUAUCUAGUACUAUAAAUGUGUAACCUAAAACCAUUAGUGGGAAGUUAUGGUUAGACCUUCUGUAAUGCUAAAGGUGAAGUUCUCCUCUGCAUAACCUGUUCAACAAAACCAUUGUGUUGCCUAGCAAAUGUAAUUAUAAAUGUAACCUGAUGAACCCUAAA